AGACGCUGGCGGCGUGCCUAACACAUGCAAGUCGAGCGAGUGAAUCUCCUUCGGGAGUGAAGCUAGCGGCGGACGGGUGAGUAACACGUGGGCAACCUGCCUCAUAGAGGGGAAUAGCCUUUCGAAAGGAAGAUUAAUACCGCAUAAGAUUGUAGCUUCGCAUGAAGUAGCAAUUAAAGGAGCAAUCCGCUAUGAGAUGGGCCCGCGGCGCAUUAGCUAGUUGGUGAGGUAACGGCUCACCAAGGCGACGAUGCGUAGCCGACCUGAGAGGGUGAUCGGCCACAUUGGGACUGAGACACGGCCCAGACUCCUACGGGAGGCAGCAGUGGGGAAUAUUGCACAAUGGGGGAAACCCUGAUGCAGCAACGCCGCGUGAGUGAUGACGGCCUUCGGGUUGUAAAGCUCUGUCUUCAGGGACGAUAAUGACGGUACUUGAGGAGGAAGCCCCGGCUAACUACGUG
rnacentral:rRNA from 1 species